CACCGCCUGUCGCUACUACCGAUUGAAUGGCUUAGUGAGCCCUUGGGAUCGGCGUCCGGGAGCCGGCAACGGCACCUGGUUGCUGAGAACUUGUGCAAACUUGGUCAUUUAGAGGAAGUAAAAGUCAUAACAAGGUAUCUGUAGGUGAACCUGCAGAUG
rnacentral:ncRNA from 1 species